CAUAUACUCCCUCCGUUCCAAAUUACUCGUCGCAGAAAUGGAUGUAUCUAGAACUAAAAUACAUCUAGAUACAUCCAUACCUGCGACAAGUAAUUCGGAACGGAGGGAGUAAGUG
rnacentral:pre_miRNA from 1 species